rnacentral:rRNA from 1 species
GACGAACGCUGGCGGCGUGCUUAACACAUGCAAGUCGAACGAAGAGCGAUGGAAGCUUGCUUCUAUCAAUCUUAGUGGCGAACGGGUGAGUAACGCGUAAUCAACCUGCCCUUCAGAGGGGGACCACAGUUGGAAACGACUGCUAAUACCGCAUACGAUCUAAUCUCGGCAUCGAGGAUAGAUGAAAGGUGGUCUCUACAUGUAAGCUAUCACUGAAGGAGGGGAUUGCGGCUGAUUAGCUAGUUGGAGGGGUAACGGCCCACCAAGGCGAUGAUCAGUAGCCGGUCUGAGAGGAUGAACGGCCACAUUGGGACUGAGACACGGCCCAGACUCCUACGGGAGGCAGCAGUGGGGAAUCUUCCGCAAUGGACGAAAGUCUGACGGAGCAACGCCGCGGGAGUGAUGACGGCCUUCGGGUUGUAAAGCUCUGUUAAUCGGGACGAAGGGCCUUCUUGCGAAUAGUGAGAAGGAUUGACGGUACCGGAAUAGAAAGCCACGGCUAACUACGUG